ACGGAGGGUGCGAGCGUUAAUCGGAAUCACUGGGCGUAAAGCGCACGUAGGCGGUGUCGUAAGUCGGAUGUGAAAGCCCUCGGCUCAACCGGGGAACUGCAUUUGAUACUGCGAUGCUUGAGUGCCGGAGAGGGUGACGGAAUUCCAGGUGUAGGAGUGAAAUCCGUAGAUAUCUGGAGGAACACCGAUGGCGAAGGCAACCACCUGGCCGUCAACUGACGCUGAUGUGCGAAAGCGUGGGGAUCAAACAG
rnacentral:rRNA from 1 species